rnacentral:rRNA from 1 species
UAGGGAAUCUUCGGCAAUGGACGAAAGUCUGACCGAGCAACGCCGCGUGAGUGAAGAAGGGUUUCGGAUCGUAAAACUCUGUUGUUAGAGAAGAACAAGGACGUUAGUAACUGAACGUCCUCUGACGGUAUCUAACCAGAAAGCCACGGCUAACUACGUGCCAGCAGCCGCGGUAAUACGUAGGUGGCAAGCGUUGUCCGGAUUUAUUGGGCGUAAAGCGAGCGCAGGCGGUUUCUUAAGUCUGAUGUGAAAGCCCCCGGCUCAACCGGGGAGGGUCAUUGGAAACUGGGAGACUUGAGUGCAGAAGAGGAGAGUGGAAUUCCAUGUGUAGCGGUGAAAUGCGUAGAUAUAUGGAGGAACACCAGUGGCGAAGGCGGCUCUCUGGUCUGUAACUGACGCUGAGGCUCGAAAGCGUGGGGAGCAAACAGG